CAGCAGCCACGGGAAUACGUAGGUGGCAAGCGUUGUCCGGAAUUAUUGGGCGUAAAGCGCGCGCAGGCGGCCUAUCCAGUCUGUCUUAAAAGUUCGGGGCUCAACCCCGUGAUGGGAUGGAAACUAGUAGGCUAGAGCAUCGGAGAGGAAAGCGGAAUUCCUAGUGUAGCGGUGAAAUGCGUAGAUAUUAGGAAGAACACCAGUGGCGAAGGCGGCUUUCUGGACGAAAACUGACGCUGAGGCGCGAAAGCUAGGGGAGCGAACGGGAUCAGAUACCCGCGUAGUCCCUGUCUCUUAUACA
rnacentral:rRNA from 1 species